rnacentral:rRNA from 1 species
AGUCGAGCGGUACAGAGAGAAGCUUGCUUCUUUGCUGACGAGCGGCGGACGGGUGAGUAACGCGUAGGAAUCUACCUAUUAGUGGGGGAUAAGCCAGAGAAAUUUGGUCUAAUACCGCAUACGCCCUACGGGGGAAAGGAGGGGCUCUUCGGACCUUUCGCUAUUAGAUGAGCCUGCGUAAGAUUAGCUAGUUGGUGAGGUAAGAGCUCACCAAGCCGACGAUCUAUAGCUGGUCUGAGAGGACGACCAGCCACACUGGAACUGAGACACGGUCCAGACUCCUACGGGAGGCAGCAGUGGGGAAUUUUGGACAAUGGGCGAAAGCCUGAUCCAGCAAUACCGCGUGCAGGAAGAAGGCCUUCGGGUUGUAAACUGCUUUUGUACGGAACGAAAAGGCUCUUUCUAAUAAAGAGGGCUCAUGACGGUACCGUAAGAAUAAGCACCGGCUAACUACGUGCCAGCAGCCGCGGUAAUACGUAGGGUGCAAGCGUUAAUCGGAAUUACUGGGCGUAAAGCGUGCGCAGGCGGUUUUGUAAGACAGGCGUGAAAUCCCCGGGCUCAACCUGGGAAUUGCGCUUGUGACUGCAAGGCUAGAGUACGGUAGAGGGGGGUAGAAUUCCGCGUGUAGCAGUGAAAUGCGUAGAUAUGCGGAGGAACACCGAUGGCGAAGGCAGCCCCCUGGACCUGUACUGACGCUCAUGCACGAAAGCGUGGGGAGCAAACAGGAUUAGAUACCCUGGUAGUCCACGCCCUAAACGAUGUCAACUGGUUGUUGGGAAUUUACUUUCUCAGUAACGAAGCUAACGCGUGAAGUUGACCGCCUGGGGAGUAC